CUUGCUUCCGCAAGCCUUGCUAAAAUCGGAAGGAUACAGAGAUUGGCAUCCCUGUGCAAGGAUGACAUACCAAUCCAUAAAGCAUUUUACAUUUAA
rnacentral:snRNA from 1 species